UUUAUUUUUGUUUUGAUUUUUAAGCAACGAUUGUAGCAAGUUGUCCUUGGUUUUUGUGACAUUAUGUUUGACUGUCCAUUCAUGUAUGAUGUUUGGGUUAAUGAACCCAAUGUCAUAGAUAUCUGCUUUUCUGCAUUCGAUGAUCUUCAACCUGCAUAAUAUAGUGAGGAUAAUUAUAUAUACAUGCAAUGAAAGAGCUGAGAUAUAUAUAGAGACUUAAUUACAGAAGUAGUACUUACACAUAGUAGCAAGUCACGAGUGUUUUGUCAAGGGCCAUUUGAUUGUAUAACUGUAAUAACUCGUCAAAUUCAACAGACAAUAGAUCCAUUCCAAUGAGGUCGUGCUCCUCUUUAACUCUCAGCAUCACAGUAUCCUUCCCAGACUGGCUGCAUCUUUCCAUAUACCAUUCAUGCAAUCUUCGCAUCAUCAUUGUUAGAGGCCGAUGAUCUGGUUUGACGAGAGGCUUUCCAUACUCGUAUUUGAAGCCGUCCACCUGCAUUUUUCAAACUCUAUAUCAUCGGUCAGGUAAUCAGCAGGAUUGGUACCGGGCACCAUCCCCGAAUGAUUAGCGACGAUAUCGCUAGACACCUUGAGUGGGGGGCACGUUUGCUUCGCCUGUUCGCCGGGCUGGGGAAUCUUUUUCCCACUUCUUCGUUCUGCUAACCUUGCAUCACUGCAAGUACUUCUCGACCACUCCGCUUCAAUAUAUGCCUUUUUAAUAGUGCGCACAUAGUUAGAAUCCGGCAGAGGCAGUGGUGGUCGCUUCAGGGCAUCGAUAGUCCGCUUCACUUUCACCGGAUCUAUAGUUUCCUUCGGAGGUGGAGGUUUCCGUGCAAAAAAUGUCCCUCACUUGGGCACGACUGAUGUCCACAUUUUCCUUGUCGGUCCUCUCAUAUGGUAACUUUUCUGGAGCCUUAAGAGAUGGGUCGUGUUUGAAUUGCUUCCCUCCUCUGCUUGUACUGCUAGCCACCAGAGCGGUGGCCUCUCUCUUCCACCAUUGCUGACGCGGUGGAGUCCCCUGACACGCCGGAGGAGGCGGAGUGCUCUAACAUUCCAGAGGAGGCGGAGGAGGAGCCGUAGUGCCCUCACGCACCGGAGGAGGCGGAGGAGGAGCCGUAGUGCCCUCAUGUGACGGAGGAUGCGGAGUGCUCGUCGGAGGAGGCGAAGAAGGAGCCGGAGUGCCGUCACACGCCGGAGGAGGCGGAGUGCCCUGACCGAAGGAAAUAUGCCCUAGAGGCAAUAAUAAAGUUAUUAUUUAUUUCCUCAUAUCAUGAUAAAUGUUUAUUAUUCAUUCUAGAAUUGUAUUAACCGGAAACAUAAUACAUGUGUGAAUACAUAGACAAACAUAGUUUCACUGGUAUGCCUCUACUUGACUAGCUCGUUGAUCAAAGAUGGUUGUGUUUCCUAGCCAUGGACAUGAGUUCUCAUUUGAUUAACGGGAUCACAUCAUUAGGAGAAUGAUGUGAUUGACUUGACCCAUUCCGUUAGCUUAGCACUUGAUCAUUUAGUAUGUUGCUAUUGCUUUCUUCAUGACUUAUACAUGUUCCUGUGACUAUGAGAUUAUGCAACUCCCAUUUACCUGAGGAACACUUUGUGUGUUACCAAACGUCACAAUGUAACUAGGUGAUUAUAAAGGAUCUCUACAGGUGUCUCCUAAGGUACAUGUUGAGUUGGCGUAUUUAGAGAUUAGGAUUUGUCACUCCGAUUGUCGGAGAGGUAUCUCUGGGCCCUCUUGAUAAUGCACAUCACUAUAAGCCUUGCAAGCAAUGUAGCUAAUGAGUUAGUUGCGGGAUGAUGCAUUACAUAACAAGUAAAGAGACUUGCCUGUCACGAGAUUGAACUAGGUAUUGAGAUACCGAACAUUGAAUCUCGGGCAAGUAACAUACCGAUGACAAAGGGAACAACAUAUGUUGUUAUGCGGUUUGACCGAUAAAGAUCUUCGUAGAAUAUGUAGGAGCCAAUAUGAGCAUCCAGGUUCCGCUAUUGGUUAUUGACCGGAGACGUGUCUCAGUCAUGUCUACAUAGUUCUCGAACCCGUAGGGUCCGCACGCUUAAAGUUCGGUGACGAUCGGUAUUAUGAGUGAGGGAGUCCCGAACUAGGGGGUGUCCGGAUAGCCGAACUAUCAUCUUCGGUCGGACUCCUGGACCAUGAAGAUACAAGAUUGAAGACUUCAUUCCGUGUCCGAAUGGGACUUUCCUUGGCAUGGAAGGCAAGCUUGGCGAUACGGAUAUGUAGAUCUCCUACCAUUGUAACCGACUCUGUGUAACCCUAACCCUCUUCGGUGCCUAUAUAAACCGGAGGGUUUUAGUCCGUAGGACGAACAACAAUCAUACCAUAGGCUAGCUUAUAGGGUUUAGCCUCUCUGAUCUCGUGGUAGAUCUACUCUUGUACUACCCAUAUCAUCAAUAUCAAUCAAGCAGGAGUAGGGUUUUACCUCCAUCGAGAGGGCCCGAACCUGGGUAAAAACAUCGUGUCCCUUCUCUCCUGUUACCAUCCGCCUAGACGCACAGUUCGGGACCCCCUACCCGAGAUCCGUCGGUUUUGACACCGACAUUGGUGCUUUCAUUGAGAGUCCUCUGUGUCAUCAUCUUUAGGCCUGAUGGCUCCUCCGAUCAUCAACAACGAUGCGGUCCAGGGUGAGACUUUUCUCCCCCGACAGAUCUUCAUAUUCGGCGGCUUUGCACUGCGGGCCAAUUCGCUUGGCCAUCUGGAGCAGAUUGAAAGCUACGCCCCUGGCCAUCAGGUCAGAUUUGGAAGUUUGAACUAUACGGCUAACGUCCGCGGAGACUAGAUCUUCGAUGGGUUCGAGCCACAGCCAAGCGCGCCGCACUGUCACAAUGGGCAUGAUCUAGCUCUGCUGCCGGACAGUGCCCUGGAGGCCGCACAAGUGUCCGCUCCGACCCUUAGCUCGGAGCCGACUGCCCCGAUCGAGGAUGGGUGGCUGGACACCGCCUCGGGGGCUGCUACCUCUACGGCAAUUGAGCCGAACACCAACCCAGUCCUUUGCGAAGCUCAUGACUCCAAGGUGCCGGACUCCUCUCCGGACUCCGAACCUUCCGCGCCCCUGCCAAUCGAACCCGGUUGGGCGCCGAUCAUGGAGUUCACUGCCGCGGACGUCUUUCAGCACUCGCCUUUUGGUGAUAUCCUGAAUUUACUAAAGUCUCUCCCUCUAUCAGGAGAGCCCUGGCCGGACUAUGGUCAGCAAGGUUGGGAUGCGGACGACGAAGAAAUUCGAACCCCACCCACCACCCACCUCGUAGCCACUGUCGAAAGUUUAAACGACGUGCUCGACUUCGACUCCGAAGACAUCGACGGUAUGGACGAUGAUGUAGGAGACAAACAUGAACCAGCACCUAUAGGGCACUGGACAGCCACCUCAUCUCACGAUGUAUACAUGGUGGACACACCUAAAGGAAGCGAUGAUGAGGAACAACGGGACGUCGCGAGGGAUCAUUCCCUUGAAAAGCAGUCAAAACGACGACGUAAGCGCCGCUCAAAGUCCCGCCUUGACAAAGACAGCAGCCAUACAGACCCAGCCAUAGAGCAGGGCAAACCGGUGGACGACGAACAUUCUAUCGAGAAACCGUCCGAACAGGACAAUCUGGAUAAACAACCCGUCCCCGGCGAAGAUAACAGUCCGGGCAAUCUCACGCCGGACAAGUUACUGGAGCAGAAGAACCUCCACAAAAGGCUCGUUGCCACUGCACGUAGCCUGAAAAAGCAGAAGCGGAAGCUCAAAACAUUGGAAGGUGCGCUCAGAAUCAAAUGGAGCAAAGUACUCAACACCGCAGACAAAUACGGUGAUAGUCGCCGAACAAAGAGCUACCCGAAGCGAAAACUACUGCCAGAAUUCGAUGAGGAGGCCGUAGAGCCCCCACAAUCAAAGAACAAGGAGACCACUCGGUCGGAUAGACGACCCCAUGGCAAACAUAGAGCGGCAAACGGCGCCGCACACAAGCCGGCCCGCGAUCCCCACACGGAUUCGCAUCAAAAAGAUGGCCCAGUUAGAUCUAUCUGCGGGCCAAGAAAGCAAGCUCUAGUAAGCAAUGCAACACAUCAAGUAUCCGAAUAUUACGGCACACCUAAAUAUAGGGGUGCCGCACACCCCCUAUGUUUUACCGAUGAGGUUCUGGAUUAUGAAUUUCCAGCGGGAUUCAAGCCCGUAAACAUAGAGGCAUACGACGGAACAACAGACCCUGGAGUCUGGAUUGAGGACUACAUCCUCCACAUACACAUGGCUAGAGGAGAUGACCUCCACGCCAUAAAAUACUUACUCGUCAAGCUCAAAGGGCCAGCCAGGCAUUGGCUCAAAAGCCUCCCCGAAAACACCAUUGGAAGUUGGGAAGAGCUUGAGGAUGCUUUUCGGGCAAAUUUUCAAGGGACCUAUGUCUGACCUCCGGAUGCAGACGAUUUAAGUCGCAUAACUCAACAACCCGGAGAGUCAGCCCGAAAAUUCUAGAACAGAUUGCUUACUAAAAAGAACCAAAUAGUCGACUGUCCGGACGCCGAAGCUUUAGCAGCUUUCAAACACAACGUCCGAGAAGAAUGGCUCGCCAGACACCUCGGCCAAGAAAAGCCAAGAACAAUGGCCGCAUUAACAAGCCUCAUGACCCGCUUUUGCGCGGGAGAGGAUAGCUGGCUGGCAAGAUGCAGUACCAGCGACCCAAGUACAUCCGAAGUCAGGGAUGGAAACGGGAAACCACGACAAAGCAAGGACCAGCGCCGGACUAAGGGAAACAGCCCGAAGAGCACGACAGUCAACGCCGGAUUCAAAAGCUCACAACAAAAUCAUAAAAAACUGCCCCUUAAGGAUAACAGGGAUGAGCUAUCUAACUUAAACAAAAUCUUGGACAAGAUAUGCCAGAUCCAUAGUACUCCCGGGAAGCCUGCAAACCAUACCCACAGAGAUUGUUGGGUCUUCAAGCUGUCCGGCAAACUCAAUGCCGAACACAAGGGGCUCGACACACCAAGCGAGGACGAUGACGAACCCCACAAGCAGAGCACCGGAAAACAAAAGAAUUUCCCACAAGAAGUCAAAACAGUAAACUCACUUUACGUGAGAAAAGGGAAAAAUAGAAUGGCGCCCAUAGAUAUACGCACCAUACGGCCUAUCCCAGAGGAGUCCCGCCACUAGUUGUUAAAACCAAUCACCUUCGACCAUCAGGAUUACUCUAGAAGUAUCCGGAAUGCAGGAUGGACUGCCUUGAUAUUAGAUCCGAUAAUCGAUGGACUCCAAUUUACACAAGUCCUAAUGGACGGCGGCAGUGAACUAAACCUGCUAUAUCAGGACACAAUCCGCAAAAUGGGGAUAGACCCAACCAAAAUUCUCCAUAGCAACACUUCCUUUCAAGGGGUAAUGCCAGGUCGAUAUGCCCAUUGUACGGGCUCUCUCUUGCUAGAAGUUGUGUUCGGCUCACCCGACAACUUCCGCCGCGAAAAGUUAACCUUCCACCUCGCCCCAUUUACAAGUAGCUAUCAAGCACUACUGGGGCGCGAAGCUUUCACCCGCUUUAAUGCAAUACCGCAUUAUGCAUCCCUCACACUUAAAAUGCCCGGUCCACAAGGCAUCAUCUCCUUAAAGGGAAAUAUCGAGUGUUCCUCGAGCGCGGAAGAUUGUGCGACUGCCUCGACAGCCACACACUAAACCGGCUUCACUAAUCCAAGCACCUAAACAGGUCGUUCAGACCACGGACACGGUUAGACGAGUCCGGUGUAAAUAUACAGGGGCUUACCAGCCGCACACCCCCGCACAAGGGGCUCCGCGCAUAUACAACAAGAGACAAUAAAGCUCAAUUUUAUUCAUUUUUUGGAACGUACUUUGUUUAUUUAAUAUAACGUACAUUUUUGCACGAUCUUUUUCAACUAAGUUCCUCUCUUUUACAGAUGAACACCGUGCGACACCCAUCCAGGAUACGGCACAACGGAGACACAGGUGCAGACGUGAAGUAGGGACCCGUUGGAAGGAUUCUUUUCAGAUUAAGACCCUGCGUAAACCUUUUUUACUGUCUCUUGUUGAUACACAUCCCCCGGUUUCUUGCUAUAACCAAGGAGGAGGCUGGCGUUUUGGCAUGGGCCACGUCAGAAUUCUGCGCAUACCUGGACACCAGGGGCUUAUUACCAAGGGCGUUGUUCGGCCCGUUUUCAUAAAGACCGAAUACCUUAGGGAGUGUUCGGCAUCUCGAGUUAGGCCUUAUAUGCAUCAGCUCCGAAUCAUGUCUUUGGUCAAAAUGUUGGGUUUGCCCGGCUCCUGUGUUUUGCUGCCUUACGUUCCGCUCUAUCGGCUAACGCGGCACCAGGAGAACUACUGCGAUUGUGCCCUGGUUCAUCCAGGCGAGCACCUCAGUAGAGAAAGCCGAAAACUGACUGUCAUGAUAUAGCGUGAGACUGGUCAACCACUCGAUGACCCGCCGGAAUCUAUAGGAUUCCUCCGCAUAGACGAAGGACCGUUUCCCGGUCAGGCACAUACGCGCCCCAAAUUCGGGUGAGCGCGGUGCCCCUAGGGGCUAUAUAGUAGCCCCACUAUCAAACACCUAUGGCUAAGUGAAAGUGAUAAAGCAUUAUAGUCCGGUUGCCUAUUUUUCUACGCUACCACCUCCUUUAUAGGACCAAGACGUUGGAUCAAGUGUGAAAAUGCGCCUUUUGCAAACACCCCCGCAUUAUAUGCGUGGGGGCUGAAGCCGAAGACUGCCAUCUUUCAGGUUAUAUACACAUAUACAUUAACGGCCGCACAGGAGGUAUGUUAAUUCUUGAAGGCACAAGUAUAAAAAGCUUUUAUAUUUCAUCGAAACAUUGUUUCACAAUAAUACAUGUUAUUAGAACAUAAUAUCCUUCGAGCACUACGUCUCUAUUAAACGAGCACCCUGCAGAACUUCCUGUAAAUAUUGCUCGACAGGUACUCGGCUUCCGUUCGAAUCUGGGGAUGCAACAUCGGUGGCCUUCAUCUCUGCCCAGUAUGUCUUGACACGGGCAAGAGCCAUCCGCGCACCCUCUAUGCAUGCCGACCUCCUCAUUGCAUUGAUAUGCGGCACCGCACCAAGGAACUGCUGCACCAAGCCAAAAUAACUCUUCGGCUCGGGCCUCUUCGGCCACAAAAGACUCAUGACAUCCUUCAUGGCAAGUCCGGAUAACCUAUUCAGCUCCGCCCAUUCGGCCAAGCGAUCGGUUAAUGGAAGUGCGCGCUCUAGAUUAUGGAACUGCGACCAAAAAACCUUUUCCAUUUCGUGAUCCUUUUGAUCUCGGAAGUGUUCGGCCGCGUCCGCGGCACUUGCCGCCAAGUCCAGAUAAGCAUCCUCCACAUUCCACAGCCGGUCCAAUCGAGCAUAUUUAGGAUCUAUGAAUUUCCGCCGCAGCAGAAAGGGCUUUCCAGCCGUGAUAUCUCCGGCCUGACGCAGCUCCUCCUUCAUAGCUCUCAUCGCAGAGCGAGCAUCCUUGGCGUCGGUAGUGGCCUUCUUCAGGUCCUCUUGUACCGAUCGAUCUUCUUUUUCAAGAAGCUUGCAGCAGUCGGCAGCAUUCUUCAACUCCACGGCCAUCUUAGCCAUUUCCUUCUUGCUUCGGCAGUGAGCAGCCUGUUCGGCUUUUAGCUCUUCGGCCGCCUUUAAGGCAGCCGUGUCACUCUUUUUGGCCUGCUCCUUGGCUCGGGCGAGCUCCGCCCGAAGGUUCUCCAUGGCAGCGGCACCAUCUGCAUCGAGCAUGCAUGUUGUAAGGCACGGGCAUCAAGCUCCCUUACCAGGUGUCCGCGGAGAAAUCACAUACCUUGUGACUCGUCCAGCCGCUUAUUGACAAGCGCGAUGUCGGCAUCCGCCACGUCAAGUUGCCGCAUUAGUUCGGCAAAUCCAUCAGUCCGGCUAGCCACCGGACACUUCGCGACCUACAUAGGAAGGGCGACAUAUUAUACCUGGGAUUAUGAUCCUCGGCGCGCUGUCAUUUUUGACAACACACCGUGUCUCAGGGGCUACUAUCUCCACAGGGCGCAUUUUAUAUGCGGAACUAUCAAAAGGUACAUCAUUUUGCGUACCUCAAAACCUGUCAGUAAACUUCUGACAGCUUCGUGCAAUCCGCUCUCAGCGGAUGAAAUCCUUUCAAUCACCGUACCCAUUAACGCACAGUGAUGUUCUGAGAUAGAUGCUCGCCCGAGCAGAUCCUUCAGCUCCUCCGACCAUACACCAGGUGGUGCCGGACUCGUCUGAUGGCCUUUUUCAAAGGCCGGACGCGGAGGGCUUUGAGGGGAAACAUGACUACCUUCCGGCCCCACCAGACUCGGAGAAACCCUCCGCGACGACACCUCAGGGUCGCCCGCCUCGCACGACGGUACGGCAAGGGGAGGCCUUUCGCUCUCUAUCAUCUCCGGACGAAGAUCCACCGAAGAUGAGCUCUGCUGAGAAGGGCUGAGAUCCGAGCUACAACGUAAAACUUCGGUUAUCUUCAUCAGAAAUAGGGCAGGGAUAUCCUUUACUUUAAUAAAAACUCCCCUUUUUACUUACGGCUCGGUGGAGGGCUGAUCCCCUUGGGGGCAUAAUGCGGCCGAGGCACCUCUCGACGCAGGACCCUCUGACGAAGAUUUCUUCCCCCGCUUUGAGAUCAUGGUCUCCGGGUCUUCAGAGGCGGUCCUCUUCUUCCCUUGGAUGGAGGGAUUCUCGAUCCCUCCUUUCCUGGUAGCCUCCUUCAUGGAGGCGGUGGCUUCCUUGUUCCCCCCUUCACCUUCUUCCGAAGGCGCAACCUCCAGCAUCCUGCUUAACACGGGAUCCGGCGUGGUCUCAGGGAGGGGGGCCGGACACCUGAUUAACUUUGCUUUCUCUAUCCACUCUUGUUCAAGGGACAGCUCUUUUGAGGGCAAAUUCAUGAUAAAUAUGGGAUAGCGUGUCCGGGUAUAGGGCUACUUACUUGAGCGUCCGGGCGAUUGUAGCUCAGACCUGCGUCCUCCGUCAAGUCCGGGCACCUCGCUUGUGAUCCGAAGAAAAGCUUAUACAUCUCCACGGGUGUUGCACCCAUAAAAUAUUGGAGAGCUCGUGGUCCCUCCGGGUUAAAUUCCCACAGGCGGAGGGGGCGACGUCUGCAGGGCAGGAUGCGACGAAUCAGCAUGACCUGCGCUACUACGACCAGAGUGAUCUCUCUCUAGGAGAUCUUGAAUGCGGCCCUGCAGCAAGGGCACAUCCUUGGACGGCCCCCAGUCAAGUCCUUUAUUGACCCAUGACGCCAGCCGCGGUGGAGGACCCGAGCGAAAGGCAGGUGGCGCCACCCAUUUGGUGCCCCUGGGAGCUGUGAUAUAAAACCACUCCUGUUGCCAUAAGCUGAGCUCCUCUUGAAAAGAGCCCUCAGGCCACGGAGCAUCAUCAUUCUUGCUUAUAACAGCCCCUCCACACUCUACCUGUUGCCCCUUGAUCAUCUUUGGCUCCACUUUGAAGGUCUUGAGCCACAAUCCAAAGUGAGGGGUAAUACGGAGGAAGGCUUCGCACACGACAAUGAACGAUGAGAUGUGGAGGAUGGACUCCGGAUCCAAGUCGUGAAAUUCCAACCCAUAGUAAAACAUGAGCCCCCUCACGAAGGGGUCCGUCGGGAAACUUAGCCCCCGAAGGAAGUGAGACGCGAACACCACUCUUUCACCAGGCUUGGGAGUGGGAAUAACCUGCCCUUGGGCAGGCAGCCUAUGCGAAAUUUUGCCGGUUAGAUACCUGGCAUCUCUUAGCUUUAGCACGUCUUCUUCCGUAACAGAGGAAGGCAUCCACCGGCCUUGCAGGUCGGAGCCGGACAUCAUCGAAGGUCCGAAGCGCCUGUAUCUGGAGCUUUGGGUGUUGGAACUCGAGGCGAGGGGCGGAUUCGAUUGAGAUUGAAAGAAAGGAGCGGAGCCUUGGUCUCUUUAUAAAGAGGUUGAAUACCAAGAGCCUCCCCGCGACCUUUCGGGGCUUGCCUUCGAUAGAGGAGACGCGCCAACGGGCACGACUGGGUUACCCACGCCCGUAUUAAUGAGAAUCCCGAAAUAAGGGGACACGAUCUCUGCUUUGACAAGACGUGCCAAGGAAACCGCCUCGCUGAACGCGCUGAGGUGGGACAGUAAAAACGAUUCGAAUAAAGGCUUGGCCGUGGUGUGAUGUCACGCCACGGAAUACGUCAGCAGAUUGAAUUUGUGUAAAUAUUAUUCUCUCUAUGGUGGUAUGUGGAACUUAUUUUGCAGAGCCGGACACUAUCCUGGUGUUCAAAAUCUUCUAUGAAGUAUUCGGAGGAGGAACCCGCCUUGCAAUGCCGAAGACAAUAUGCACGCCGGACUCGUCGUCAUUGAAGCCUGGUUCAGGGGCUACUGAGGGAGUUCCGGACUAGGGGGUGUCCGGAUAGCCGAACUAUCAUCUUCGGCCGGACUCCUGGACUAUGAAGAUACAAGAUUGAAGACUUCGUCCCGUGUCCGGAUGGGACUUUCCUUGGCGUGGAAGGCAAGCUUGGCGAUACGGAUAUGUAGAUCUCCUACCAUUGUAACCGACUCUGUGUAACCCUAACCCUCUUCGGUGCCUAUAUAAACCGGAGGGUUUUAGUCCGUAGGACGAACAACAAUCAUACCAUAGGCUGGCUUCCAGGGUUUAGCCUCUCUGAUCUCGUGGUAGAUCUACUCUUGUACUACCCAUAUCAUCAAUAUCAAUCAAGCAGGAGUAGGGUUUACCUCCAUCGAGAGGGCCCGAACCUGCGUAAAAACAUUGUGUCCCUUGUCUCCUGUUACCAUCCGCCUAGACGCACAGUUCGGGACCCCCUACCCGAGAUCCGCCAGUUUUGACACCGACAAUGAGUUUUAGUGCUUGGAUGUACCAAAGGUAGUUUGGAGUCCCGGAUAUGAUCACGGACAUGACGAGGAGUCUCGAAAUGGUUGAGAAGUAAAGAUCGAUAUAUCAGAUGACUAUGUUCGGACACCGGAAGUGUUUCAGGAGGUUUCGGACAUAUAUCGGAGUACGGCGGGGUUACCGGAACCCCCCGGGGGGUUUAGUGGGCCUAAUGGGCCCUAGUGGAGAAGAGGAGGGGCGGCCAUGGCAGGCCACGCGCCCCCUCCCCCUCUAGUCCGAAUAGGACAAGGAGGGGGCGGCGCCCCCCCCCCUUUUCCUUCCUCUCCUCUCUCCCUUCCUUAUCCCCUCCUACUCCAACUAGGAAAAGAGGGAGUCCUAUUCCCGGUAGAAGUAGGACUCCUCCCUGGCGUGCCUCCUCCUGGUCGGCUGCCCCCUCCCCCUUGAUCCUUUAUAUACGGGGGCAGGGGGGCACCUCUAGACACAACAAUUGAUCUCUUGAUCUCUUAGCCAUGUGCGGUGCCCCCCUCCACCAUAUUCCACCUCGGUAAUAUCGUAGCGGUGCUUAGGCGAAGCCCUGCGUCAGUAGCAUCAUCGACACCGUCAUCACGCUAUCAUGAUGACGAAACUCUCCCGCAAAGCUCUGCUAGAUCGGAGUUCGUGGAACAUCAUCGAGCUGAACGUGUGCUGAACUCGGAGGUGUCGUAUGUUCGGUACUUGAUCGGUCGGAUCGUGAAGACGUACGACUACAUCAACCGUGUUGUGCUAACGCUUCCGCUUUCGGUCUACGAGGGUAGGUGGACAACACUCUCCCUUCUCGUUGCUAUGCAUCACCAUGAUCUUGCGUGUGCGUAGGAAAUUUUUUGAAAUUACUACGUUUCCCCAACAGUGGUAUCAGAGCCUGGUUUUAUGCAUAGAUGUUAUAUGCACGAGUAGAACACAAGUGGGUUGUGGGUGAUACAAGUCAUAUUGCUUACAGCAUGUCAUACUUUGGUUCGGCGGUAUUGUUGGAUGAAGCGGCCCGGGCCGACAUUACGUGUACGCUUACGCGAGACUAGUUCUACCGACGUGCUUUGCACAUAGGUGGCUGGCGGGUGUCAGUUUCUCCAACUUUAUUUGAACCGAGUAUGGCUACGCCCGUUCCUUGAGAAGGUUAAAACAGCACUAACUUGACGAACUAUCGUUGUGGUUUUGAUGCGUAGGUAAGAACGGUUCUUGCUCAGCCCGUAGCAGCCACGUAAAACUUGCAACAACAAAGUAGAGGACGUCUAACUUGUUUUUGCAGGGCAUGUUGUGAUGUGAUAUGGUCAAGACGUGAUGCUAUAUUUUAUUGUAUGAGGUGAUCAUGUUUUGUAACCAAGUUAUCGGCAACUGGCAGGAGCCAUAUGGUUGUCGCUUUAUUGUAUGCAAUGCAAUCGCCCUGUAAUUGCUUUACUUUAUCACUAAGUGGUAGCGAUUGUCGUAGAAGCAAUAGGUGGCGAAACGACAAUGAUGCUAUGAUGGCGAUCAAGGUGUCGCGCCGGUGACGACGGUGAUCAUGACGGUGCUUCGGAGAUGGAGAUCACAAGCACAAGAUGAUGAUGGCCAUAUCAUAUCACUUAUAUUGAUUGCAUGUGAUCUUUAUCCUUUAUGCAUCUUAUUUUGCUUUGAUUGACGGUAGCACUAUAAGAUGAUCUCUCACUAAAUUUCAAGGUAUAAGUGUUCUCCCUGAGUAUGCACCGUUGCGAAAGUUCUUCGUGCUGAGACACCACGUGAUGAUCGGGUGUGAUAGGCUCUACAUUCAAAUGUAACGGGUACAAAACAGUUGCACACGCGGAAUACUCAGGUUAAACUUGACGAGCCUAGCAUAUACAGAUAUGGCCUUGGAACACUGAGACCGAAAGGUCGAGCGUGAAUCAUAUAGUAGAUAUGAUCAACAUAGCGAUGUUCACCAUUGAAAACUACUCCAUCUCACAUGAUGAUCAGACAUGGUUUAGUUGAUUUGGAUCACGUGAUCACUUAGAUGAUUAGAGGGAUGUCUAUCUAAGUGGGAGUUCUUAAGUAAUAUGAUUAAUUGAGCUUUAAUUUAUCAUGAACUUAGUACCUGAUAGUAUUUUUUGCUUGUCUAUGUUAUUGUAGAUAGAUGGCUCGUGUUGUUGUUCCGUUGAAUUUUAAUGCGUUCCUUGAGAAAGCUAAGUUGAAAGAUGAUGCUAGCAAUUACACGGACUGGGUCCGUAACUUGAGGAUUAUCCUCAUUGCUGCACAGAAGAAUUACGUCCUAGAAGCACCGCUGGGUGCCAGGCCUGCUACAGAUGCAACUGACGACGUUAAGAACAUCUGGCAGAGCAAAGCUGAUGACUACUCGAUAGUUCAGUGUGCCAUGCUUUACGGCUUAGAACCGGGACUUCAACGACGUUUUGAACGUCAUGGAGCAUAUGAGAUGUUCCAGGAGUUGAAGUUAAUACUUCAAGCAAAUGCCCGGAUUGAGAGAUAUGAAGUCUCCAAUAAGUUCUAUAGCUGCAAGAUGGAAGAGAAUAGUUCUGUCAGUGAACAUAUACUCAAAAUGUCUGGGUAUAAUAAUCACUUGAUUCAGCUGGGAGUUAAUCUUCCUGGUGAUAGUGUCAUUGACAAAGUUCUUCAAUCACUGCCGCCAAGCUAUAAAGGCUUCAUGAUGAACUAUAAUAUGCAAGGGAUGAAUAAGACAAUUCCCGAGCUCUUCGCAAUGCUAAAGGCUGCGGAGGUAGAAAUCCAAAAGGAGUAUCAAGUGUUGAUGGUCAACAAGACCACUAGUUUCAAGAAAAAGGGCAAAAGAAAGAAGGGGAACUUCAAGAAGAACAGCAAGAAACUUGCUGCUCAGGAGAAGAAACCCAAGUCUGGACCUAAGCCCGAAAUUGAGUGCUUCUACUGCAAAGGGACUGGUCACUGGAAGAGGAACUGCCCAAGUAUUUGGUAGAUAAGAAGGAUGGCAAAGUGAAAGGUAUAUUUGAUAUACAUGUUAUUGAUGUGUUACUUACUAAUGCUCGUAGUAGCGCCUGGGUAUUUGAUAUUGUUUCUGUUGCUCAUAUUUGCAACUCAAAAUAGGGGCUACGGAUUAAACGAAGAUUGGCUAAGGAUGAGGUGACGAUGCGCGUCGAAAAUGGUUCCAAGGUCGAUGUGAUCGCCUUCGGCACGCUACCUAUACAUGUACCUUCGGGAUUAGUUUUAGACCUGAAUAACUGUUAUUUGGUGCCAGCGUUGAGCAUGACCAUUAUAUCUAGAUCUUGUUUGAUGCGAGACGGCUAUUCAUUUAAAUCAGAGAAUAAUGGUUGUUCUAUUUAUAUGAGUAAAAUCUUUUAUGGUCAUGCACCCUUGCUGAGUGGUCUAUUUUUGUUGAAUCCCGAUCGUCGUGAUACACAUGUUCAUAAUAUUGAAGCCAAAAGAUACAAAGUUGAUAAUGAUAGUGCAACGUAUUUGUGGCACUGCCGUUUAGGUCAUAUCGGUGUAAAGCACAUGAAGAAACUCCAUGCUGAUGGGCUUUUGGAAUCACUUGAUUACGAAUCACUUGAUGCUUGCGAACCAUGCCUCAUGGGCAAGAUGACUAAAACUCUGUUCUCUGGAACAAUGGAACGAGCUACUAACUUAUUGGAAAUAAUACAUACCGAUGUAUGCGGUCCAAUGAGUGUUGAGGCUCGUGGCGGGUGAGGGAGUCCUGGAUUAGGGGGUCCUCGGAAAACCGGACUAUGUACUUGUGCUGGACUGUUGGACUAUGAAGAUACAAGAUUGAAGACUUCGUCCCGUGUCCGGGUGGGACUCUCCUUUGCGUGGAAGGAAGGCUUGGCAAUUCGGAUAUGUAGAUCUCCUUCUCUGUAACCGACUCUGUGUAACCCUAGCCCCCUCUGGUGUCUAUAUAAACUGGAGGGUUUAGUCCGUAGGACAACAACAAUCACAAUCUUAGGCUAGCUUCUAGGCUUUAGCCUCUACUAUCUCGUGGUAGAUCAACUCUUGUAAUAUUCAUAUGAUCAAGAUCAAUCAAGCAGGAAGUAGGGUAUUACCUCCAUUGAGAGGGCCCGAACCUGGGUAAACAUUGUGUCCCCCGCCUCCUGUUACCAUUAGCCUUAGAUGCACAGUUCGGGACCCCCUACCUGAGAUCCACCGGUUUUGACACCGACAGCGGGUAUCAUUAUUUUCUUACCUUCACAUAUGAUUUGAGCAGAUAUGGUUAUAUCUACUGAAUGAAGCAUAAGUCUGAAACAUUUGAAAAGUUCAAGAAUUUCAAAGUGAAGUGGAAAAUCAUCAUAACAAGAAAAUAAAGUUUCUAUGAUAUGAUCGUGGAGGAGAAUAUUUGAGUUACGAGUUUGGUCUUCAUUUGAAAAAAUGUGGAAUAGUUUCGCAACUCACGCCACCUGGAACACCACAGCGUAAUGGUGUGUCCGAACAUCGUAACAGUACUUUAUUGGAUAUGGUGUGAUCUAUGAUUUCUCUUAUUGAUUUACUGCUAUCGUUUUGGGGUUAUCCUUUAGCGACGGCUGUAUUCACUUUAAAUAGGGCACCAUCAAAAUCUGUUGAGAUGACGCCUAUGAGCUAUGGUUUGGCAAGAAACCAAAAUUGUCAUUUCUUAAAGUUUGGGGCUGCGAUGCUUAUGUGAAAAGGCUUCAACCUGAUAAGCUCAAACCCAAAUCGUAGAAGUGCAUCUUCAUAGGAUACCCAAAGGAAACUAUUGGGUACACCUUCUAUCACAGAUCCGAAGGCAAGAUAUUCAUUGCUAAAAAUGGAUCCUUUCUAGAGAAGGAGUUUCUCUCGAAAGAAGUGAGUGGGAGGAAAGUAGAGCUUGAUGAGGUAAUUGUACCUUCUCCCGAAUUGGAAAGUAGUUCAUCACAGAAAUCAGUUCCAGUGAUUCCUACACCAAUUAGUGAGGAAGCUAAUGAUGAUGAUCAUGAAACUUCAGAUCAAGUUACUACAGAACCUCGUAGGUCUUCCAGAGUACGGUACGCACCAGAGUGGUACGGUAAUCCUGUUCUAGAAGUCAUGUUACUAGACCAUGAUGAACCUACAAACAAUAAGGAAGCGAUGAUGAGCCCAGAUUCCUCGAAAUGGCUUGUGGCCAUGAAAUCUGAGAUGGGAUACAUGUAUGAGAACAAAGUGUGGACUUUGGUGGAUUUGCCCGAUGAUCGGCAAGCCAUUGAAAAUAAAUGGACCUUCAAUAAAAAAGACUGAUGCUGAUGGUAAUGUUACUGUAUACAAAGCUCGAAUUGUUGCGGAAGGUUUUCGACAAGUUCAAGGAGUUGACUACAAUGAGACUUUCUCACCCGUAGCGAUGCUUAAGUCUGUCUGAAUCAUGUUAGAAAUUGCUACAUUUUAUGAUUAUGAAAUUUGGCAAAUGGAUGUCAAAACUGCAUUCCUGAAUGGAUUUCUGGAAGAAGAGAUCUAUAUGAUGCAACUAGAAGGUUUUGUCGAUCCAAAGGGUGCUAACAAAGUGUGCAAGCUCCAGCAAUCCAUUUAUGGACUGGUGCAAGCCUCUCGGAGUUGGAAUAAAUGCUUUGAUAGUAUGAUCAAAGCAUAUGGUUUUAUACAGACUUUUGGAGAAGCCUGUAUUUACAAGAAAGUGAGUGGGAUCUCUGUAGCAUUUCAAAUAUUAUACGUGGAUGACAUAUUAUUGAUUGGAAAUGAUAUAGAAUUUCUGGAUAGCAUAAAAGGAUACUUGAAUAAGAGUUUUUCAAUGAAAGACCUUGGUGAAGCUGCUUGCAUAUUGGGCAUCAAGAUCUAUAGAGAUAGAUCAAGAUGCUUAAUUGGACUUUCACAAAGCACAUACCUUGAUAAUGUUUUUGAAGAAGUUCAAAAUGGAUUAGUCAAAGAAAGGGUUCUUGCCUGUGUUACAAGGUGUGAAGUUGAGUCAGACUCAAUGCCCGACCACUGCGGAAGAUAGAGAGAAAAUGAAAGUCAUUCCCUAUGCUUCAGCCAUAGGUUCUAUCAUGUAUGCAAUGUUGUGUACCAGACCUGAUGUGUGCCUUGCUAUAAGUAUAGCAGGGAGGUACCAAAGUAAUACCAGAGUGGAGCAUUGGACAGUGGUCAAAAACAUCCUGAAAUACAUGAAAAGGACUAAGGAUAUGUUUCUCCUUUAUGGAGGUGACAAAGAGCUCAUUGUAAAUGGUUAUGUCGAUGCAAGCUUUGACACUGAUCUGGAUGACUCUAAGUCACAAUCCGGAUACAUAUUUUUAUUGAAUGGUGGAGCUGUCAUUUGGUACAGUUCCAAGCAAAGCAUCAUGGCGGGAUCUACGUGUGAAGCGGAGUGCAUAGCUGCUUUGGAAGCAGCAAAUGAAGCAGUCUGGAUGAAGGAGUUCAUAUCCGAUCUAGGUGUCAUACCUAGUGCAUCGGGUCCAAUGAAAAUCUUUAUGACAAUACUGGUGCAAUUGCCUUGGCGAAGGAAUCCAGAUUUCACAAGAAAACCAAGCACAUCAAGAGACGCUUCAAUUCCAUCCAUCAUCAAGUGUCGGAGGGAGACAUAGAGAUUUGCAAGAUACAUACGGAUCUGAAUGUUGUAGACCCGUUGACUAAGCCUCUUCCAUGAGCAAAACAUGAUCAGCACCAAGACUCCAUGGGUGUUAGAUUCAUUACUUUGUAAUCUAGAUUGUUGACUCUAGUGCAAGUGGGAGACUGAAGGAAAUAUGCCCUAGAGGCAAUAAUAAAGUUGUUAUUUAUAUUUCCUUAUAUCAUGAUAUAUGUUUAUUAUUCAUGCUAGAAUUGUAUUAACCGGAAACUUAAUACAUGUGUGAAUACAUAGACAAAACAUAGUGUCCCUAGUAUGCCUCUACUUGACUAGCCCGUUAAUCAAAGAUGGUUAUGUUUCCUAACUAUAGACAUGUGUUGUCAUUUGAUAAACGGGAUCACAUCAUUAGGAGAAUGAUGUAAUGCACAAGACCCAUCUGUUAGCUUAGUAUUAUGAUCGUUACAAUUUCAUUGCUACUCCUUUCUUCAUGACUAAUACACGUUCCUCAAACUAUGAGAUUAUGCAACUCCAGAAUACCGAAGGAACACCUUGUGUGCUAUCAAACGUCACAACGUAACUGGGUGAUUAUAAAGAUGCUCUACAGGUGUCUCCGAAGGUGUUUGUUGGGUUGGCAUAGAUCACGAUUAGGAUUUGUCACUCCAUGUUUCGGAGAGGUAUCUCUGGGCCCUCUCGGUAAUGCUCAUCACUAUAAGCCUUACAAGCAAUGUGACUAAUGAGUUAGUUGUGGGAUGAAGCAUUACGGAACGAGUAAAGAGACUUGCCGGCAACGAGACUGAACUAGGUAUGAUGAUACCGAUGAUCGAAUCUCGGGCAAGUAACAUACCGAUGACAAAGGGAACAACGUAUGUUGUUAUGCGGUUUGACAGAUAAAGAUCUUCGUAGAAUAUGUAGGAGCCAAUAUGAGCAUAUAGGUUCCCCUAUUUGUUAUUAAUCGGAGAUGUGUCUCGAUCAUGUCUACAUAGUUCUCGAACCCAUAGGGUCCGCACGCUUAACAUUCGAUGCUGAUUUGUAUUAUGAGUUAUGUGUUUUGAUAACCGAAGUUUGUUCGGAGUCCUGGAUGAGAUCACGGACGUGACGAGGAGUCUCGAAAUGGUCGAGACAUAAAGAUUUAUAUAUUGGAAGGCUAUAUUCGGACAUCGGAAAGGUUCCGAAGAAGUUCGGGUAUUNNNNNNNNNNNNNNNNNNNNNNNNNNNNNNNNNNNNNNNNNNNNNNNNNNNNNNNNNNNNNNNNNNNNNNNNNNNNNNNNNNNNNNNNNNNNNNNNNNNNNNNNNNNNNNNNNNNNNNNNNNNNNNNNNNNNNNNNNNNNNNNNNNNNNNNNNNNNNNNNNNNNNNNNNNNNNNNNNNNNNNNNNNNNNNNNNNNNNNNNNNNNNNNNNNNNNNNNNNNNNNNNNNNNNNNNNNNNNNNNNNNNNNNNNNNNNNNNNNNNNNNNNNNNNNNNGCUUUAGGUGAAAGGAGAGAAGGGCCUCAAGGGGUGGCCGCGCGCUCCCAUGGGCUGGUCUGAAUUGGACUAGGAGGGGGCGGCGCCCCCUCCUUCCUUCUCCCCUCUUCUCCCUUCCCUCCUUCUCCUAGUUGGAAUAGGAAAGGGGAGGCGAAUCCUACUUGGACCGAGAGUCCAAGUAGACUCCCCCCUUGGCACGCCCCCUCUAGGGCCAGCCUCCUCCUUCCCCCUCCUUUAUAUACGUGGGAGGGGGCACCCCAAAGACACACCAAGUUUUGCCUUAGUCGUGGGCGGUGCCCCCCUCAACAUUUACACACCUUGAUCAUAUUGUCGUAGUGCUUAGGUGAAGCCCUACACUGGUAACAUCAUCAUUACCGUCGACGCUGUCGUGCUGAUGGAACUCACCCUCGCCCUCAACUGGAUCAAGAGCAUGAGGGACGUCAUCGAGCUGAACAUGUGCUGAAUGCGGAGGUGCCGUACGUUCGGUACUUGGAUCGGUUGGAUCACGAAGACGUUUGACUACAUCAACUGCGUUACUAGACGCUUCCGCUUUCGGUCUACGAGGGUACGUGGACACACUUUCCCGUCUCGUUGCUAUGCAUCUCCUAGAUAGAUCUUGCGUGAUCGUAGAAUUUUUUUUGAAUUACUACGUUCCCCUACACCAACAACUCUUCCUGUUCUAAGUCUCUUUGAUCCAUAGUUUCUGCAAAUAUUACAACAUGGCAAUUAAUAUACAAACAUGAGAGAUGGAUAUAUUAGUGGCAAACAUAGACCUAGCUAGCUAAUCACAACAAGAAAUAUUAAUUUGUGGCCUCGACGCUUCUACGGUGUGGGGUGGCCUCGAUAACGCUUCUAGGGUUUGGGGUGGCCUCGGUGACAACGCUCUUUUAACUCGGUAAAUUUGGGUGGCCUCAAUGCUUCUAGGGUUUUGGGUGGCCUCGGCAACGCUUCUAGGGUUUGGGGUGGCUUCACCGGAACCGGGAUUAACGGGCUUACCCGGCCUGGACCAAAGCCCUAUUUUCUACUAGUGUAUUGAGCUAUCCCAAAGCCUCCGGAUCCGAAAUUUGUGAUGGGAAAGCCAUAGUUGGCCGGAGCCGCCACGUCUGUAGGGGCGUUUGGUCGCUUGAAGGGUUCACCUAGUGCCACCGGCCACACGUCCAACCUUAUAGCUAACCUUGUUGUAUGAGUGUCUAUAAGUGAUGACUAUAUAUAUGACAUGUCAACAUCAUAUAGCCAACAAUUGACUAUACUAUUAACCAUGCUCUUAUACACGUUGGCUAUUAAGUUGACUACUAGCAAAAAGACCCGUGCGUUGCAACGGGAGAAAAAUGCCCGAGCCCGUGCGUUGCAACGGGUGAAAAAAAAAGUGUAUGUCACUAACCCAAUAAGCAUUGCUUAAGACCCGACACAGACUCAUGUCUUCUAUUUUAACAUGACGCCACACUUGUCUUGCUGUUUAUACUCUUUUGUCAUUUCUUUCCUCGUCAACAGUGGUGAUAAUGUUUAUCACAUGACAAUGCGUUUGAAUGUGGUGAAUUUCAAAGCAACGACGUCGGUCAUCGCAUAGCCCACAUGUCACUGAACCGUACCAAGGUGCUUGUCACGCAUCUAGUUCGUAUAAUAUCACUCAUACUUCUUGUGAAUUGUAUAGUUACGAUUCUUAAAAAAAAUUGUACUGUUAUGUGCUUAUUUCAUACAUGGAUGAAGGACAUGUUCCGCAUUUCUAUGUAUCAAGCUUUAGAAACGGAAAGAUGAAAAUUGCCAAUGAAAGGACUCGAGCUUCCACCAUGAUAUAUAUUUAUUAAAUAAAUUUAAGAUAAAACCAGGGGUUAUUUUGUUAUACUCCAACUUUCUAGGGAGCUCUUGUUCAAUUGUCAUGCAGCACACGUGUUCUUUUGGGGUCUUCGAUUGGACUGGUACGUGGCUCUCUCCCUCACCAGAUGGAUGUGCCCAGGCUCCUUCAGCGGCCAUAUCAGUCACCAGCGUCCCGCGGAAGCCAGCCUCGCUCGCGCACCUGCCCGCGCUGGACGCGUCCAGGCGCCCGCAGCCCGCCGUCGUCCGUGCGUCCAAAGGAGCAGGAGAGCCGGUCUCCUCCGUCUCCUCUUUUCCUCGCUCUCUCCUUUCCUUUUCCCCCUCCCAUCUCUCUCUUGUUUUCUCCAGCCCUCGUCGGUGACCUGCCGGACCAGCAGCAGGUCAUUGCCACGCCUCCCUCCGCCGCCGCUGGGCAUACAUGUUGCCAUAUUUUCCAUGCCUCGUCUUUUUAAUAUUUUCCAUGCCUCGUCUCUUUGACUGCUCGUGAGCUUCACUCCGGGCAAUGGAUUUGUGAUGCAUGGCGUCUUUCUUCAUGUCUUUUGUUGGCUUGUUGAUUCUGGCAACUCCAAACGUAUAUAAACUGCUAGGAUAUGAUGUUAAGGGGCAGGGUGGGACUAAAUCUGAAAUUGUAGCAUAGGCUUUGCUGCAGCCGUAAGAAGAGGAGGGCAGGUCGUGAAGUUGAACCUUUUUACCGGCCCAUAGCAAGUUUUCUGGCCCAUCAAAGCUGAGAAAUACGUACGAAGCGGAGCAAAAGAAGGACGGACGAAUUAGUACCACCUUAAGGACGGACGAAUUAGUACCACCUCGUUUAUAUUACGAUUCCGUCUAUACAAAUCGUAAAAGCGUAUUAUGGCAUGAGAAGAAAGCGUAUUGUGACGGUGAAUCCAGAGACCCAAUCCGUACUUUAUUAUUAGGGAGAGAUAUGUGACAUGGCUACUUCAUAUAGCUCGUUGUUGGUUAUCCUAUUAACCAUGCUCUUACCUCUUGUGUAUAAGAGCUGGACGUGUCAUGUAGGAGGGGUAUGCAUUGAUAAGUCUCUGAAACUCUCUCUGCGUUUCUCUGUUCUCUCAUCCUCAUCUGGACUCCAUUUCCCAUCCUCAAAUCCCGCAUGUAUCUUUUUUUUUUUGAAAAACAUCACCACUUUAUUAAUUAGAAAUAAUGGUUACACCAUCUAUAAGUAGAGAUACAAUAUUUCACAUAGCCUCCUCAAUCCAAUCCCUCGUUAUGGAAUAUUUUGCUAGUCGAGCCAACUCAUGCGCUACCUUGUUCGCUUCCCUAUUACAAUGUUCAAAACUAGUAAGAGGAAAAUCACAAGCUAUAAAAAAACAGUCAUCAAAAAUUGCCGUUGCCGCUCCUGCAGAGUGUCCUCCAUUCUUCAUUGUGUCAAUGACUUCCAUAUUGUCAGAGUUGAUAACAAGACGAUUGCAACCCUCCUUCUGUGCUAGCAAUAAGCCAAACCUAAGUGCUAAUGCUUCCGCUGUCAGGACAUCAGCGCAACAAUUAAUCUUCCAAUUUGCACCUACAAUGAAGUUUCCUUUGUCAUCCCUGAGAACAGCCCCCGCUGUGCCCUUUAGUAGAUCAUGAUCGAAGGCAGCAUCCACAUUCAAUUUAACAAAGCACCUACAAGGUCUACUCCACCCUCCAAUCUUACCAUUUGCAUUGGGGGAAUGGGCAUUUACAAAAUUUUCCGUUAUAGCACGAAUUCCCAUCGAGGUCUGACAUACCCCUUGUGACUUUCCCUCCUGAACCAGUUUAUGUCUAUUCCACCAUAAAUACCACGUGGUUACAGUAAUUAGCUCCCAUGCGUUCCGUGAAUCCGAUACAAAAAAUUCUUGUUGUGGCAUGAGGAGUAAUGAUUCGAGGGCUGCCUCCCCUGCACGAUCAACCUCACAAGCUUUUUUAACCGCUCCAUACAUCCCCAAAUUUUCCCACACUUCUUUUGCCUUCUGACACAGAAACAACACAUGCUUGGUAUCCUUUGGCCCAUUUGAACAUGCUGGGCAAUUGGGAGAAAUUUUUGUGUGUCUAUUGGCCAAGGUAAUACGACACGGUAGUGUCCCAUGCAAUGUACGCCAGAUAAAAAAAUUCACCUUCGCCGGACAAGGUAAUUUCUAAAUUUUACCCCAAAUAGGAUUGACCCUACUUCUACCCAUUCCAUUUGUGUAUUCCAGUUUCUUUCCAUGUUGUUUAUUCCACUCCUCCAAAUAAACAGAUCGUACAGUGAACAAACCGUUUUUAGUAUAGCUCCAGGCAAUGAAGUCCUGCAUAUUAUGCAUAGGAGAGGGAUCGCCAAGACUCUUCGAGCAUCAAUUGUCUAUAGUGUUUGUCUCACCAAAUCUUCAUCCCAACCAUUUGUGGUUGGACCAAUAAGAUCAGACACUUUUGUCAGAAGUAUCCCUCGUCUUGGAGUAAUAAUUCUCCUAUUCGCACAAUUUGGGAUCCAAGCAUCUGUACAAAUAUUAAUUUUUUGCCCAGUCCCAACUCUCCAUAUAUAACCAUUUCUGAUAGAGUCAACUCCUGCCAUAAUACUUUGCCAAGUAAAGGAACCCUUUUUUAAUUUUGCGCUCAUCAGAUCACCCUCUGGGAAAUACUUGGCUCUUAGGAUUGUGGCACAUAACGAUUUGGGAUUAUCCAGGAGACGCCAAGCUUGUUUAGCUAACAAUGCUAGAUUAAAGCAGUGUAUAUCACGAAAACCCAUCCCUCCUUGAUCUUUGGGAACACACAUCUUCCACCAUGCCAUCCAAUGCAUCCUUUUAUGGUUGUCGUCGUUGCCCCACCAAAAUUGCGACAUCGCUCAAUGAUUCCUUUACAAAUUUUUUUAGGAAUUUUAAAGACGGACAUGGCAUAAGUUGGGAUAGCUUGAACAACAGAUUUUAGCAAAAUUCCCUUUCCACCGGCAGACAACAGUUUUUCUUUCCAUCCACUAAUUUUCAUAAUAAUUCGGUCAAUCAGGAACUGAAAGCAAUCAUUUUUGUCCAUCCCCACAUUGGCUGGUAGACCCAAAUAUUUGUCAUUGAGUGCCUCAGUCAUAAUAUUCAGAGUAGUACAAAUUUGCACCUUUUCUUCCACUUUUGUAUUGAGGCUAAAAAAUAUGCUAGACUUUUCAACACUCACCAUUUGACCCGAGGCAGUACAAUAAGAUUCCAGAACUUCUCUCAAAGCCUUCGCAUUCGUAUCAUUAGCUUGCAUGAGGAUCAAUGAAUCAUCCGCAAAGAGUAAGUUGGAAAUAGAAGGGGCAUCUCUGCUAACUUUUUAUGCCGGAAAUACUACUCGUUUCUUCCAUGUUUGCUAAAAGAGCAGUGAGGCCCUCUGUGCACAACAAAAACAAAUAGGGAGAGAGCGGAUCCCCUUGCCUUAGUCCUCUAGUAGGUUUGAAACUAUCAGUCUCGUCGGCAUUAAAACGUACUCUGUAUUCCACCGAGGAUACACACUGCAUGAUUAAGUUCACCCAAUUCUCUUUAAAACCCAAUUUCAAUAGAACUCCUCUUAAAAAAGACCAUUCCACUCGGUCAUAAGCUUUAUGCAUGUCCAGUUUAAUGGCACACAACCCUUCUUUACCUGCCCUUUUCUUUUUUAUUUUAUGAAAACACUCAUAUGCCACUAAAAUACUAUUUGUGAUCAAUCUCCCAGGAACAAAAGUACUUUGAGUUGGGCUGAUAAUAUCUGAAAGAAUUACCUUUAAUCGCGUAGCAAUCUUUUUUGAAAUAACCUUGUACACCACAUUGCACAAACUGAUUGGUCUAAAUUGAGUAAUCUUUUCCGGAGAAUUAACCUUUGGGAUCAUGACAAUUGUAGUGCCAUUCCAUCCUGCCGGUAUAGAACAUGUAUUCACCGCCUUGAGGACUUCUUCUGUCAGAUCUUCUCCCAACAUAGACCAAAAUCUCUUAUAAAAGAUAGCGUGCAGACAAUCCGGACCCGGUGCUUUUAAAUCACCAAUAUCGAAUAAGGCCUUCUGAAACUUCCCCCGCCGUGUAUGGAGUUGUAAGAGCAGUAUUCAUUGCAUUCGUGACUUUCCUUUUUACAAGAGAUAGAACCUCCGGGUUUGGUUGAGAGACUUCUGACAUAAAUAGGUUUGAAAAAUAUCUUCUAAUGUAAUCCUUCAUCUCCGGCUCUUCCACCCACACCCCAUUAUCUCCAAGCAAUUUUUUUAUCUGAUUUCUUUUCUUUCUGGUUGUUGCCGCGUUGUGGAAAAAAGAUGUGUUCCGGUCCCCGUGUAAUAGCCAAUUUGCAUGACCACGCUGAAUCCAGUAAAUCUCCUCUUGUUCCAACAAAUUUUCAAUAAGAACAAUAAUCUCCUUUUGUCGUGCUUGGGAAUCCACAUUCAUAGGUCCCCUACGUAGCUUUUCCGUUUCUUUUUUAAGUUUACCUAUUCUCUUUUUCGGUCCGUUCAGAGUCUCACGAUCCCAAUUCUGCAAAUCUUCCUGUACCACUCGCGUAUGAUCAGUGAGCGUAGGCCCAAUACCCAUUUUCUUUGCCUUUUCCCACGCUGUACGCACAAUCUCAACGACUGUCUCCUCUUUAAGCCAUCUAGCUUCAAAUUGUUUCACUCGUCCCUUUGGAGGAUUAAAAAUAUUGGCGUCAAAGUAUUCAGUAUCCAAGAUGAUGGGACCAUGAUCGGAAUGAACAUGUUCCUCAUUUAUAACCGCACCCCGGGGGAAUAUAUUCGCCCAUUCCACAUUGCAAACCGCCAUGUCAAGUCUCUCUCUAGUCUAGCCUCUCCUCCAAGUGAAAGGAUCACCAAUACAUCCCAUAUCCUCGAGGCCGCACUCUCCUAAGCAAUUGCGGAAAUCUCUCAUCAUUGCAUUCGGUCUCGCAUUGCCACCUUCUUUUUCCGACGAGAGUAAAAUUUCAUUAAAAUCACCUAAAACCACCCACGGGUGCUUGCCCUUACUAUGUAGGUUUCGGAGCUUAUCCCGGGAUAAACUAUGCUCACUCCAAAACGGAUGACCAUAAAAGCCCGUGAACCGCCAAUGCACGGAAUCGUCAUUUAAAAAAAGAAUAUCAAUAAAAUUAGGCGACUCAUAGUUCGAAACCACUUUAUUCAACUUAUAAUAGAACAAAACUAGGCCACCGGCCCGGCCAUCACUCUCCGCUACAAUCAUUGAAUCAAAAGAUAAAGAACGACGCAACUCAUCGGCUUAACAUUUAUUAAAGUGCGACUCAGAGAGAAAAAUCAAAUCCGCCAUGAUACGCCCUUGGAUCUCCAAGAGCUCGCGAACUGCCAUGGGAGAUAGCAUACCACGGCAGUUCCAUCCAAGGAUUUUCAUUUGGCCCGGCGGACCUCCUCCACGGAGGCCGCCGAUGCGCCAUCAUCUUCAACCGACUCCCUCCUCUGUUGCAUGUACGCCUCCUCUUCCUCUGUGUUCCUUCGCUACAUGUGUGAUUACCCCAUCCACAUUCUUCAUAGUUUCUACUCUACCCAUACAAAUUCUCUUGGAAGACACACUCAUCUCACCCGUAUCUUGGUGAUGAAUGAAGCUAUGAUCCGGGACAUUACAAUUACAGGGAUUGGCACAAUUUGCGCCAAAUUGCAUGGACUAUCAUGCAAUUAAUUAUGAUUAGCAUUAUGAUUAUUUAUGGACUCAUCUAGUCAUCUUUGCUUGCACUUACACAUUGUACACCGGUACACAUUACCACAAGACACAACAUUACACUUCAAGUUGUACAACUAUGUACAAUCUCCAAUCAGCAAUGAAUUAAUGAGUGCACAUAUGUCUUGCACGGGCCGUUGGCUUUCUCACCCCCUUCUUCUGGCGGCAACAAUGGCGACCAAGGAGACGGCGGCCACCGACGACGCCCAGAUGACGCCGGGGCGGUAGCGGACGAGGAAGUUCUGCAUCCUCGUGUCGUGGAACCGCCUCACCUUCGCGAUCUGCACGUCCAUGGCCAUGUACACGGACGGGUACGUCGCGUAGCCGUCGAUCCGCUUGACCAGCUCGUGCACCUCGGCGCCGGACGCCCCACCGCCGCGCACGGCGCCGGCGCGGCGGAGGAUCUUGGCGUCGGCCGCCUCGUCGACGAGCUCGUUCAUCAUCUGGAAGUAGCGCGUCACGGGCUUGUUCUGCUCCUCGUACUCCCGCGCCAGCAGGUUCCUGGCCACCGUGGCCAGCUUGAAGUCGUACACCAGCGCCGGCAGCUGCAGCCUGGCGGACGCCUCGUCGAACUCCACCGUCGCGCGGCCGUCCUCCCCCGGCGCGAUCCGCACGCCGGAGCGGCUCAGCUCCCUGGCCGUCGGCAUACGGGACGUCCUGCCGCCGGCGGCCGCCCCCUUCUCCGCGUCCGGCGGCGUCGGCACCACGCUGGCGUGGAGGAAGUCCAGGAGCGCGAUCUCGUGGUUGCCGUCGAACAGGCCGCGGUCCACGGCCGGCAGCUGCUUGUUGAAGAAGGGCGAGUAGUACCAGCAGAAGGGCCUGACGACGUCGUCGAAGAAGGUGGCUGGGCUGAGGCCGAGCUUGUACGCCUCGAGGAAUUCGCGGAGCCCCUCGAACCUGGCUUCGGCGGCGACGUGGCGUGCCGCGUCCUGGACGUGCUCGACGACGUCGAGGAUGAGCUUGAGGGGGAGCUGGUUCUCCAGCUUGAUCAUGUCCGUGACGAUGUCCUGCAUGUGCGUGGACUUGAACCCCUCGUCGACGGCGUCGCGGCUGACGCCCGCGGCGGCCUUGACCAGCCUCGCGAGGAAGCCGACGACGAGGAAGACGGCGUCGAUCACCUGCUUGUCGUCCGACUCUUUCUCUUCGUCGUGCAGCUCCGCCGUCUUGCUCUGCUUCUCCUCUGAUCCGUCUUCUCCGCCGCCCGCGCCGGCUAAAAGUCAGAGCGUACAUAUGCAUGGUUAACGCCAGGAAAGAAACGUGCACAUUCCUCUAAACUAAUGGUGCCACGCGUAUGCGUGCGUGCUUACCGAUAGGCGUGGCCACGGCGCCCGACACUUUGUUGAGGACGUCCGUCACCACCGCGGCUUUGGUCUGCGGCGCCGGUGGCCGUUCGUCGUCGGGGUGGAUGCGGAAGCGGCAUUCGCGGGCGAGGCUGAGGAGGAGGCUGGUGGCGAGGGGCUUGGCGCCGUCGUCGACGUGGCUGCCGGUGACGGACUCGUAGACGAGCGCCGCCUUGACCCAGAGGCUGUUGCGGCGGUCGAUGCCGCUGCCGCCGUCGCGCGCGAAGAAGACGCUCCGCGGCACGAACUCGGACGGGUUCUCCGCCUUCAUCCGCGUGUACGCCGCCGACUCCAGCAUCCUCUCCGACGGCGCCAUGGACGGACGGACACACGCGAUCGAGCUAAGCUUCAACAAGCUGCCGUACGCGCCGGUGUUGCCUAGCUACCUGUUUAAUCCAGCGUCCAGGCAAUGAGAAUGAGAUGGGUAGGGACGAGGCGCCAAGAUAGAUUUAUAGGCCGGUUUUUCCAGGACCUAGUGAUGCACACGUAAUUGGCCAUGUGACUGCGGGGACAAGGAAUCGACGUUGGUCGCGACGUACGUCCAACGGGGAAGGAUCGAUACCUAGUUGACAUGACCCGUACUGGUUUUCUUGUUGGGUCAGGCCUACAUGAGGCGGUCACGCCAAGCAUAAAGCCAGUAGUAGGUUUGCAGGGCAGGAAGGGUGUGCCAAUGCAUAGAUGCACUUCAAGCCCGACCGUGGACGUGAGCACAAGGCACACCUGACCUGGGCCCAUCGCCCCCUCCUGUCUCGGAAGAUUCAUCGACGACGCCAUUGGUCCAUUUGCUCCCUCUUGUCUCAGAAGAUUCAUCGGCACCAUCUCAACACAAGUUACCAUUGCCAUGACAACGACGACGACAACAACAACAGCAGCAAAGGUUUCUAUCAACAUUUCUGUGAUCUUGUGAAAUGGGGUCUCAAGAAACUAUUGGAUGAUAUUUCAUUCUGAAAAUCUAGAUAUAAGAAGACUUAAUUAUGGAAUUAUCACCCUGAUACCAAAAGUGCAAGACGCUAAGCAGAUACAAAAAUUUAGACCAAUAUGCCUUCUUAAUGUUAGUUUUAAAAUCAUUGCUAAAGUGCUGAUGAACAGGUUGAGUAGGGUGAUCAAACCCAUCAUCUCCCACAAACAAACCCCCUUUAUUAAGGGGAUAUAUAUUAUGGAGGGAGUGGUGGUGUUACAUGAGGCCCUAAAUACUAUUCACCAUAAAAAAAGCAAAGUGCACUCUUGUUCAAGGUAGACUUUGAGAAAGCUUAUGAUAAGAUAAAAUGGCUAUUUGUAUAUAAGAUGUUGAAACUAAAGAAUUUUCUUGAGAUCAAUGAUGUGACUUGAUGAUAUACACUAUGGUUGGAGGGCAUGUAUGUCAAGGUAAAUGAUGUGAUAGGGCCGUAUUUUAAAACACAUAAAGGGUGAGGCAAGAAGAUUCCAUGUCUCCCCUACUAUUUGAUUUAGCUGCUGAUGCCCAAGCUAUCAUACUAGACAAGGCCAAACAAAAUGGUUUUGUGAAAGGAGUUAUGCCUGAGUUUGAAAAUAAUGGUGUAAACAUGCUUCAAUAUGUAGAUGGUACCAUAUUCUUAUUACAAGAUGAUGAAGAAAGUGCCAAAAUUCAUUCUUAGUGCUUUUGAACAGAUGUCAAGUCUGACUAUAAACUUUCACAAGAUUGAGAUAUUUUUAUUUGGAGAGGCCAUCACUAAAACAACAAUUUAUCAGGAAAUUUUUACUUGUGAACUUGGGAAAAUUCCAUUGAAAUACCAAGGGUUUCCUGUUUCUGAUGUAAGGCUAGGAAGUAAAUUUUGGAAGAUUAUUACUAGAAAAUUGAAAAAAAAAUGUGUUGGCUGGCAAGGGAGACUUCUAAACAUGGCAAGUAGAGUGACCUUGGUCCAAUCCUGUUUAUCUAACAUUCCAAUGUAUAUGAUGUCUUUCUAUCCCCUGCCGGUUGGCAUUAGGAAAAAAAAGGUGACUUCUUCAGAGCUAGACAAGUCUGGUGGGAGAAUGAGGACAAAAAGAAAUAUCAUUUAAUCAAUUGGAAAACAUGUUGCCUCUCAAAAAAUCAAUGUUUUAAAUAGCGGGCUAUGUAAAAUAGCGGCGAGCCUUCAAAUCAGCUAUAGCGGGCUAUAGCAGGAUAUAGCGGGUUUUUUACAAAGGCGACCAUUUAGCGGCACCCUGCUGAAAAGGCUAUAGUGGGCUAUAGCGAAGCUAUAGCCGGCUAUUUAAAACUAUGCAAAAAACAUUGGGAGGGAGGGGAGUGGGGGUUGGGAAUUUUAAAUCUAGAACUAAUGAAUAAAGCUCUAUUUGCUAAAUGGUUUUGGAAACUGGAAACUGAAGAAGGAAUAUGGAUUGAUAUUUUACUUAAUAAGUAUGUGAAGGGUAAAUGCAUCUCUGGCAUUAAGAAAAAACCUGGAGAUUCUCAAUUUUGGGGGAGCCUUUUGUAGGUGAAAAAAAUUAUAUUACCGACAUGUUAAGAAACAGUUGGUGGACGGUAGAAACACUAGGUUUUGGGAAGAUUGGUGGGUGGGCUCCAAACCUUUAAAAGAGGCUUAUCCCAGCUUAUACAAUGUUAGUUUUAAUCAUGAUAUCUUUGUUGCAGAGGCUAUUGAAAUGGGAUGAGAUAAUUUUACUUUUAGAAGAAGUUUACUUGGGGACAAAUCUGUGGGGCUAGCCUCAAAUCUAGAUGCAAGGAUAUUAGAAUGUAUGGAGGCAAGGAAAAGCCUAUGUGGAUGCUUACCAAUGAGAGAAACUUCUCUGUGAAAUCUUCAUAUCUUUUCCUUAUUAAAACUGAUGUGGGUUUCCCACACAAGUUUCUAUGGAAAAUUAAAAUUCUAGCCAAGAUUAAAAUGUUCUUUUGGUUGACUGUGCAUAAAAGCAUUCUAACUAAAGACAACUUAAUCAUAAAAGGGUGGAAAGGGAAGAAAGAAUGUGUCUAUUGUGGACAUGAUGAAACUAUUGAUCAUUUGUUUUUUAGUUGUUCUGCCGCCAGACUUAUAUGAAGCUUAAUUAAAUGUUCAUUUGAUUUGAGAUCAACACCUAGUAGGUUAGAUGAUUGUCUGAACAGAUGGUUGAAAACUUUUCAGAAAACAGAGAAAAAAUUAAUCCUUCCUGGAAUGUCUUCUAUAUUCUGAUCCAUCUGAAAAUGCAGAAAUCCCAUUAUUUUUAGAACAAAAACAAAUUCAUGAUCCCAUGAUUCUAGUAAGACUAAUGUGUAAUUGGAUCGUUGAUUGGUCUAUUUUGCAGAUAAAAACCCAGAGCAAAUGCUACUUAUGUUGGGGGCAAGAGUAAUCGAGCGGGUAGCAAGUGAAAGAUAAAAACCCAGAGCAAAUGCUACUGAUGUUGGGGGCAAGAGUAAUCGAGCGGGUAGCAAGUGAAAUAUAUCGAGCGUCACAGGUGUGGAGACCAGGGGUACAGAGACUAGAUAACUGAAGGAAAAACAGUGGCGGGUGGAGACCAGGGGUGCAGAGACUAGAUAACCAGGGGUGCACUAGCCUCUUCAGCGACAUGUGCUUUGUGUGUCUGCUGCGUUUGUUUUAGGAUCUGGUUCUUAUGUUUACUGUCAGGCUUUGUCCCUUCGUUUGUGGAUUAUGUUCAGUUAUGCCGCCUGAAUCUUUAAGCUUUUUAGCUGCUGUUAGAUUUAGUAGUUUAUAAGUAGAUCUGAACCCGAGACCUGCGCUGGAUGCUGUUAUUUUGGUGGUUUCGUUAAUGAAAUCGGAGGAAACCCCCUCUUUUGAUUAAAAAAAAACAGCAGCAAAGAUAAAAUUCUCCAACAGGUCAAAUAUUUGUCAGCUAAGGACAAGACAACAUACACAGAAGGCAACAAACUUCACAAUCACUAAGGCUAAAGAGUCACCAGUUGGUUUCUGAUUUCAGCUGUAACACGGACAGAGAGGCUGCCAUCUGAGUGGUGCUUUGCUGUUAACCAUCCUGCAGCACAUCCCUUCCUUAUUCCCCAAAACUGUAACUGUCGUCCACCCGAAGCUGUCACCGCCGCAGCAGCACAGCCGUCAUAUGUUCUCGAACCGGCGAACCAAAGCAAGCAGGCGCAUUGCGACUCUACUGUAGCAGGACAACGCAAUGUACAGGGGUAUCCUUCCGGGCCGCGGAAGGAUGAAGAGGAUGUCUUCAGAGCUCAAGGAGACUCGCACUUGGACCUCCC
rnacentral:lncRNA from 1 species